CCUACGUGAGGCAGCAGUGGGGAAUAUUGGACAAUGGGCGAAAGCCUGAUCCAGCCAUGCCGCGUGUGUGAAGAAGGCCUUCGGGUUGUAAAGCACUUUCAGUGGGGAAGAAAGCCUUGGGGCUAAUACCCUCGAGGAAGGACAUCACCCACAGAAGAAGCACCGGCUAACUCCGUGCCAGCAGCCGCGGUAAUACGGAGGGUGCGAGCGUUAAUCGGAAUUACUGGGCGUAAAGCGCGCGUAGGCGGUCUGAUAAGCCGGUUGUGAAAGCCCCGGGCUCAACCUGGGAACGGCAUCCGGAACUGUCAGGCUAGAGUGCAGGAGAGGAAGGUAGAAUUCCCGGUGUAGCGGUGAAAUGCGUAGAGAUCGGGAGGAAUACCAGUGGCGAAGGCGGCCUUCUGGACUGACACUGACGCUGAGGUGCGAAAGCGUGGGUAGCAAACAGGAUUAGAUACCCCAGUAGU
rnacentral:rRNA from 1 species